rnacentral:rRNA from 1 species
CGGACGGGUGAGGAAUACAUCGAAUCUACUCUGUCGUGGGGGAUAACGUAGGGAAACUUACGCUAAUACCGCAUACGACCUACGGGUGAAAGCAGGGGAUCUUCGGACCUUGCGCGAUUGAAUGAGCCGAUGUCGGAUUAGCUAGUUGGCGGGGUAAAGGCCCACCAAGGCGACGAUCCGUAGCUGGUCUGAGAGGAUGAUCAGCCACACUGGAACUGAGACACGGUCCAGACCCUACGGGAGGCAGCAGCU